UUAGCCAUCUUAGGAUUGCCCCCCGACAAGAAUAUAGGCAUUUCUGAGUUCUCUACUUCCGCUAUAUUCCCCUCCUUGUUUGUCAUCUAUAUAAACAAAGUGCGAAAGCUUUUGCCGCUCAAACUCCAGCAACUUCUUGCGUAGUUUCGCCAUGAUUGGUAUCGGCCAUCGAAGUAUACAAAUUGCACAAAACCAUUGGCCCUCAUUCGUCUUCAACUCGUCCUUCGACGUAACUAAUUUAGGCAAGUGGUUGAUUGUACAAGCCGGGUACCAUGUAGUUGAAAUUCCACCACUCUUACGUUUUCGUCACGUGAAUUUUGCUUGAUCUCAAGUAAAUUUAUGAACCUGUGCAAGAGUUUAUUCAUCAUACAUUCGAGACUAAUUUUUUGCUCCUUUACUUAUUUGAAAUCUUUUUUUUUUUUUUUUUUUUUUUUGUAUAUUGUGCUCAUUUAGAUGAUUUAAAUGAGCAAAAAUGUAGAUUUGGGUGUACCAUGCUCAAGGUAAAGUUAGUGGAGCUUAUUUUAUUAUAUAUGAGAAUAUGUUGAAACUUAUUGGAAUUUAUUUUUUAUUUUAACUAAAGAGAACACACCCACUGACGGAUCUAGGAAUUUGAAAAUGGCUUAUCACACUAACGCAUAACCGAAUACAAUUAAUGACCAAUACAUUAAAAAAAUCAUAAAAGUUUUCAAAAGCAAUAAAUAUUAAUAUUACAACCACAUAGUAUAGAGAAAACAUAACCACCAAUUGUACAUCAUACAUCACAAUACAAAACCCUAAGGUCACUUUUUUAGAUCAUAAUUACUUCGUAUGAGUAUUAAAAUAAUAUAUUAUCCGUUAAAUCAUAAUUUUGGCAAUUUCAAAUAUCCAAAUGAUGGAAUUAAAUCAUAAUUUUAGCAAAAAAUAAAAAUUACAAAAUGAAAAACAAAACCCUGAAAGUAAAACAACUCCAAAAGAAUAUGUGGAGGUUGGAGGUUGACGUUGCCGACUAGGGAGAAAUUUGAGUUGUGGACUCAUGGCAGUCGUCGAGGUGCUGAGCGACACUGGCUAGUGGUUAGGGUUUGAACUGUUAAACAUCCGCACUGAAUAAAGAAAUCUUCCACACUUUCAGAAAUUGAGCGGCUGCUGGCUUGGCUGGCUUGGCUGGCGGCGAGGCGGCAACGGACUAACUAGCGGCUUGUAGUGUUGCGUUAUGGGUCUAAUUGUGGGCAUGUGGCGAGAGCGAGACUCAUCAUAGGAGAGAGAGAAAGACUUAGGGUUUACGGGAGAAAAAACCCACGUUAUUGAUUGUGAAUUUUAAUUUUUUUUUUCCAAAUUAAUGGUUGGUCACCUGACCAACUAAGACCGAAUGUAGGUCCGCCACUGAACACAUUUGAAACUAGCUUCUUGGCUUGGAUAGGGUCUUUCAAAUUAGGUUUCUUUAUUCCCCUUCAAAAUUAUAUUCUUAUCAUUUUCCUGAUUCUCCAUUUGCAAUGGAUAAAUGCAAUGAGAGGUGAAACGUAAUCCUGGACAAGAAUCAAACGUAGCAUACCUAUUUUCGCGGCUAACUUUUAUCAUUCUUUAGUGAUCAUUAAUAAAUAUGAUCAUCGGAACUUAUUGUUUAAAAUGACAUGGCCCCAUUCUAAACUUAAAAUCAUCUCGGACCUUGAGAUUUCCAUUGUCAUAUUUAUUAUGAUCACCAUAGGACACUUUCUAAAUUUUACAUCAUUAGACUUAUGUUUCUUUUAUUUUAUAUUAAUCGAUAUUCGAUAGCACUUGACUAGCAUAUAAUUUUAAGAGCUUUAUUUGGCUUCUUUAUUUUAUUGGUUGUAUUUGACAGUAGAUAUUUUUAUAUUGUAAUUAAAGGAUUGUGGGGCCAUCAACUAUUAGAAGCAAGAAUAUAGGUGAUGUUUCUUUACUAUCGUUGGGUUUCUCAUGUAGAGAGAAAUAGUUUUUCCUCCGUUUCAGAGUAGAUGACGUGGUUCGACUUUUGCAUUUCCUUUAUUUAUUUGUCAAUUUCACAAGCCAUUUUCUUCCACAUUCUAGUGGCUUGAUGAGUCGAACCCCCUCACACAUCACCCACCUGCUCAAAAUUUUCCUCACUCUCCGGGUCGCCAUCAUGCUCCAUAUCCACGCUACAAUCUACCUCCCCACCCCUACCAUCAUCCCCUACAUUCUUCUGUUCAGCCACGUUAUUCAAGCCCCUCUAUCCCCAAAUUAGCUUCAUCCGUCAAUUUAAGUUGCUGCCAAGCCCCUACUUCAAGAACUCUAUUAACAUUAGGGAUUACCUCCACCCUCACUUACAGCACCUUUCCUUCGAUCCCCUGCUACUACUCUCUUCAUCUUGCGUGUGUAGACUUCGAGUCGCUCACAUCCUUCUUUGUCACGAAAUAAGGCCUUGCAGCUAGUCAGUUGGAUAGGCUGGCCCUUAAAUAAGGAUUAUAUUAUCCCCAAUUUUUAUGAAAUUCAAGAUGCUUUAGGUGAUGCUUUCAGCCCUGAACCCCACCCCAUGCUUACCUCAUGUUCCUCCACAACUGUCAUCAAACAAUCCUUCUCACUAUGACCGAUUACACCACACAAGAAACAAAAGAAGGGUGUCUUUCAUAUUGAAAAGAAACCCUUAUUUCUCGUCCAUCCUUCCCUUUUAUGCGUUGAGUAUGUCCAAUUGAUUUUGUUAUAACUAAUAAAACUUUAGCUCGACGAUAUGAUUCCAAUCCUAAGUCAUCUUCUUCCAAUUCAAAAACUAGCCCUAUAGAAGAACAAAUAGCAUUGACGUCAUCAUUUAUUCUACAGUAAAUUUUUAAUUCGUAACCAAAAGGGAAAUUGAAUCAAUGGAACUUCGGACAGUUGUUCAAUGCCCGAUAUUUCAUCAAGGAUGAGAAGUUUCUGCUCGAAGCACCAUGGUCCUCUCGUGAGAACUUUCUCUUUGUCUUUCCAAUGAAAAAAUUGUACAACAAAAAGAUGUACACCAAUUACCUUAAUGACGAUAAUCUGUUUUAAUCCCCAUGAUUACAUCAUGGUUUGUUUGAAUGCUUUAAUAUUAAAAGGUUUAUCUGUCAAUAAUCGCCCCGCCACCAUGAGCGAAACCCUGUCACUAGUAUCGUUCAAUUUUGUGUCACAAAGAUCCAUAACUUCGAAAUCCUCAUCUUCCAAUUUUACGUUGAAUCAUCGAAUCACUAGAUCAUCGGCCAUAAUGGCUGAAGAUCUUCCUCGGAAAGAGGGAGAAAGCGCCUGUUCUAGGAGGGAGAAUACUCAUGUCUUUCAAGGGAGAGGGAAUUUUUUUAUCUCAUUCGUCUCUUUCUAAAUACGAGAAUUAAAUAGGUUUACAAUGAGAGAAAAGGGAAAAUCAGUUUAUUCUAAGGGUACUUAUGUCAUUCUAUUCUAAAGAACCUUAAUUAGUUUAUAAACAACUCUUUCACCAACUAUUCAUAACAACAAAUGACUAUUAAUACCACUUUCUCAAGGAUAACCAUAAAAUGGGGUUACCACUGAGAACUAAAAUUAAGUUUGGUUACGAAAGAGAAAAAACCAUAGUUUUGGGUCACCAUCGAGAAUUUUCCAAAAAUGUAUUUAGUGAGAAAAAACCCUUUUUUGUGUAUAUUUUUACUAAAAUAUCUACUUUACCGUUAGAUUCUGGCCAUAAAGUCAAAUUUCUACUAUUGACCUACCCUAUUUCAAAUUAAAACUUCUGAUUAAAAAAUUAUGUAGAUGCACGUGACUUCCGUACACAACAUAUGCCACAUAGAAUUAAGUUUUAUCUAUCAUCAUGAUCAUACCACUCUUUAUUAUUGCAAAGCAAACGAGCCAUUUAGGGCCUGUUCGUUAUCGUUUUUUGUUUUCAGUUUUCAGUUUUUUUGAAAACUAAAAACCCCAAAAAAGGAAGCUAGAAAAAGUGAUUUUCACUUUUUACUUGUCAGUUUUCGAAAACAUCAUGUUCCCAAUAAAUUUGACUAAUUUUUUAUUCAUUAUAGGACAUAAAUCAUAUGAAUUUGAAAAUGAAAAAACCAAAAAACAGAAAACUACAAUAAUGCUGUACGUGCCCUUAGUUAAUGGCUGAGGGUUGGUAUAUGAUUGUUAUUAAGGAUUCGUUUAAUAGGGUGUGAAAUAUUUUAUAAGAAGAUGAGUUUUUCUUUUUUUCUUAUUUUUCGUUUAUUGAUUUGUUAAUGGGUGUAAAACAAGUUUUGCAUCAAGGGAAAAAAAUCCUUGUAUAGGUGAAAAUUAUUUUCCUUUCAAAUAGAAGGGAAAACAUAUUUUCCUCUCUCCUCCUUAGCAAUCUUUUACUCUCGUCCUUAGCAAUCUUUUACUCUCCUCUUAUCCAUCCUAUUCCUUCCCCUUCUAUUUUUCUUUUUGUCAUAACUUUUUUUUUUUACAUUGAACCAAACAAAAGAAUAUUAGCUUUGUAAAAUAUUUUACAUGAAAAAUCAGUUUACAUUGUAAUUAUUUUAUAUCCAACCAAACAUAACCUAAAUAUAUCAAUAGGGUCAUUAUUCUGGUAUGGAAUAACUACUAUGGGGUGAACCGAUAUCUUCAUGCCAGUAAGUCGGUCUGAAACCUGCAAUAUAAAACACAUAAAGUAACCUUAGGGGUUGAUCCUAGGGACCCCAUCUCACGCCUAAGCGAGUAAAGGAAAUAUCAAUAGCUCUCAAAUACAAUAUAAUAAUGACUGAACGUACCUUAAUGACUCAAAUCAUGUUGUACUUAUAGUGGACAGGAGUGUCCUAAAGAGGAUAUGACACUUCUUCUAUUGGCUCAAUUAACACUUAUCGUUUCCUUGAUACUUAUCUUCAGGCCCAUAUGCCAUUAUAAUUUUCACUUAUGACGGAAAACUUGUUUUAUACCCCUUAACAAAUCAAUAAACGAAAGAGAUGAGGCCUAGGCUCGUUACAGAUGGCCCAAAUGAAGAAUAUUGAUAAGACACAUGAUAGUGACCUGUAUUCCUAUAAUACCGGUAUCAUAAAGAUUUCCAUUCUAGAUCUGCACCUAACCUCUUGAUGGUUUGACCAUGACGGUGUUUGGCUGUCUAACAUACUAGUAUGGAACUUGGAAAGCUCCCAUACACAGUCAAUAGUCAUGUAGCUUACUAGCUUAUAUCAGUUAUAUGCAUUAUCACACACAUCCGAGUUUCCACACUCCUCCCCACUUUACAACUUCUGAGUGGCGGAUAUAGACAUUUGAAAUAUAUCUCUGAUUGAGAGUAACACUUCAAGUGUGUAUUUCCUCAAAUUGCGUAAAUUCUAUAUAUUAAACUAUUAGAUAUCCAUUGAAAAUUGUGGCGAAUAUGACAUCCUUUUUUUUCUCCUUGCUAAAAUUUGUGUCCUGAGCUUUGUGAAACAAAAAGCAUGAGCCAUGAGGCCAGGAGGGAGAAGGAAAAAGGUGCAUCAAUGUAAUAGUCAAAAAGAGAGCUAGUGGAUGGCUGCUUUUAGGUGCUUGUGCCAGAGGAAGAUGACGCAAGCUUAGCCUAUUAUUCUCUUCAUCAAUUGUUUACACCAAGUAUCAACCAAAUAAGGGAAUCAAGGAUUUCAUAGGUUAUAAGAUUUUUGCAGAGAUGGAAAAAGGCUCGUGAGCUGCAAAAGCACAUGAUGUAUCAUGUACUUGAUGAAAAUAUGUAUACAUUUGUGAUACCCGGCCAGUUUGUACUUUAAAGUUUUAAUGAAGAAACGCUCCAUAUUAAUAAAAUAUUAACAAAAUGUAGAUAAGUACUUGUAUCAAUGUUUGGUACAUUAAAAAGCUAAUUACAAUAAGGACAAAUAUUCAAACAUUGAAAGAGUAAAGGGAAUUCCAAUUUAGCGAGAGAGAAUGAAUUCCAAAAUUUUCUAGAAUUGGGAGGAAGACCUUAACCAAUGAGUUAUCACGUAAGUUUUCAUAUUGACAUAUAGCACGUGACAUACAUAAUGACAAUUAGAUAUAUGUCCUAAUUGAGCUGCUCAAUUGGAAUUUAUAUCAGUAAUUAAAAUAGGAAUUUUAGUAAGCAAAAAAAGAUCUUUACUAGAGGAGUUUCCAUCAUAUUCCUCGGCUUCAUAAAAAAUGUAACACUUAUAUUUUUAGAGUUAAAUUUUACAAACAUUGACUACGAAUACCCACCACUACAUCCUAAUAAAUAGCAUAAUCAUGUGUGAUCUUCUUA